GGCCCUUUGUGAGAGAAAAAUAGGGGGUCUGGCCUGCCCGGUGACAAUAUGUUAAACGGCCGCGGUAUUCUGACCGUGCAAAGGUAGCGUAAUCAUUUGCUCAUUAAUUGUGGGCUAGUAUGAAUGGCUUGACGAGGGUGCGGCUGUCUCUUUAUAAAUAUAUGGAAAUUAUUUUUUGGGUGAAGAAACCCAAAUGUAGCUGAGGGACGAUAAGACCCCAUCGAGCUUUAGCUGAAUUCUGGAGAGUGUAAACGGAGUGUGUAAGUUACGGUGUCUAGGUGAAUCUUUAAUUGGGGCGAUUGAGAAGAAAGAGAAACCUUCUGUUAGGGUUAAUAGUUUAUUGGCGAGUGAUCUGAUUUAUUAUAUAGAUAAAAAGAAUAAGUUACCGUGGGGAUAACAGCGUAAUCUUCUUGGAGAGCUCGUAUUGAGAAGAGGGUUUGCGACCUCGAUGUUGGAUUAAGAUUUCCUAAGGGCGUAGAAGCUCUUGAGGGUUAGUCUGUUCGACUAUUAAAAUCUUACA
rnacentral:rRNA from 1 species